UACUGUGGGCACUUAUUUGAC
rnacentral:miRNA from 1 species